rnacentral:rRNA from 1 species
GAAACACUGGUUUUCUUACGAUCACUGACGUUAAGAAACGUCGAGCCUGGUCAGUACCUAGAUGGGUGACCGCUUGGGAAUACUAAUUGCUGCAA